rnacentral:lncRNA from 1 species
CACAAGUUGGAGGUGGCCGCCGGUGGCUGCCCUCUCACACGUCCGGGCGCAUACCGCAUACUUGGGGCCAGAGGCGAUCAUGUCGAGUAUGGCGGCGUGCCCGUUGCGUGCGGCUGCCGAGACGCACACGCCGCGGGUCUCGCAGCCAUUUUCAUACGCAUAGGUAAAACAACCGAGAUGGCCGUUGGCGGCGGCCAGGCGUGUCGUAUUGUGGUCCCAUGGGCACCCACUGCUGUGUGCAAACACGAGGCAAUCCGUGUGGCCCUCUCUUGCUGCCGACUGACAUGUAGUGGCACCCCACGCAAGACCGAGGCCGUAGCGCGCAUAGACCAGGCAACAGAGGUGGCCCGCUGCCGCAGCGACGUCGCACCACCGAGUCGGCCGCUUCAUCGUCUUGGCCGUGUCGACACAUAGGGGAUGUCUUUGCAAGGCCGCUGCAUCGCCGACCACAUCGUGCCACCGACGACACACCAGGGGGACGGCUGAGCGCAAGAUCAUGCACGGCAGGUGCACAAACACGGCGCACAAGAGUUCGUCGGGCAACAGGUCAAUCAUCCUCCUUGCCGCAUAGACCAAAAACAAAGAACAGUGCGAUCGUCGGCAGUUUCUUUUCCACAGUCGACAGAAAAAAGACGGACCAAUACGCAGUCCACAAAAAGGUGGCGUGUGGCCGCUUUGCGCAGUGCUCACAAAAAAGGGCGCCAUUUUGUUCUUUUUUGUGGCGCGGUUGAUGCUGGGCAACGGCUAGCCGAACGGCUAAAAAUUGUGGAUUAAUCCCGGCACAUCAGGGACGUCGACAGUGGAAUUCGUGUGUUUUAGCCGAUCGGCUAGCCGUUGCCCACCGUUAGCCACGACCGUGUCGUCGCCUGGAUCGAGGCGCAUUUUUCCGACGAACGAGCGCUAUUUCGUAAGGAAAAAAAGAAAAAGUUGUCGAUUUUGUCCCAGAACUGCAAUAAAUAAAGUGUCAUCAG